CAGGAAAGGGGAGGUGAAACCCUAACCUCAAGAAAUCAAGAAUUGAAGUGAAAUUCAUAGAGAAAUUUAGUGCAUGAGUCCAUAAAUUCGAAUGGCAAACCCUAACUUCUGAAGUGGCGUGAAGGAAGAAGGUUCAAAUACUAAGAAAUCGGAAGGUUCACAAGACCGAGGAUGGAAAUCUUGUCAAUUGACUCAAGCAUGGAUGGCAAACAGGGUAAGAGGAAGCGAUGAAGCAAGCAUGAACAUGGACGCUAAAGGCGUGAAGGAAGAAGGUUCAAAUACUAAGAAAUCGGAAGGUUCACAAGACCGAGGUAAAUCCUCAAUUUAGGGGACUUGGAGAAUCGGAGCGAGCACGUGUCCAUGUUAUGUUAUACCAUACGCUUCCGCUAACUAGUUCUCAUCUUUUGGUCCAUGACUUGUUAUUUUGCUUAGCUUUGUUAGUAGUCGUAUAUUUUAAAACUUGUUGUCUUUGUUUUUGGUAGGAUUAUGUCAAACGGA